GCGGGAGUGGUGAAAUGGCAGACACGCAGGUCUUAGGAACCUGUGCUUCGGCGUGUGGGUUCAAGUCCCACCUCCCGCACCA
rnacentral:tRNA from 25 species